UACGUAGGGUGCAAGCGUUGUCCGGAAUUAUUGGGCGUAAAGGGCUCGUAGGCGGUCCGUCACGUCGGGAGUGAAAACUUGGGGCUUAACCCCAAGCCUGCUUCCGAUACGGGCGGACUAGAGGUAGGCAGGGGAGAACGGAAUUCCUGGUGUAGCGGUGAAAUGCGCAGAUAUCAGGAGGAACACCGGUGGCGAAGGCGGUUCUCUGGGCCUGUACUGACGCUGAGGAACGAAAGCGUGGGGAGCGAACAGG
rnacentral:rRNA from 1 species